GGGGCUGUGGCUCAGAGGUAGAGCACCUGCUAAGCAAGCAUGGGAAUCUGGGUUCAAUUCCCAACACCACA
rnacentral:tRNA from 1 species